AGUAGCAGCCAUAUCCCUCUGCAACUCACAACUGGCAGCCCACUGAAGCUAAGCAGGUGUGAGCCUGGUCAGUACGUGGAUGGGAGACCUCCAGGGAAAAACUAAGGUUGCUGCUGGAA
rnacentral:rRNA from 1 species